rnacentral:rRNA from 1 species
AGUGAACGCUGGCGGUAGGCCUAACACAUGCGAGUCGAACGGCAGCACAGUAAGAGCUUGCUCUUACGGGUGGCGAGUGGCGGACGGGUGAGGAAUACAUCGGAAUCUACUUUUUCGUGGGGGAUAACGUAGGGAAACUUACGCUAAUACCGCAUACGACCUACGGGUGAAAGAAGGGGAUCUUCGGACCUUGCGCGAUUGAAUGAGCCGAUGUCGGAUUAGCUAGUUGGCGGGGUAAAGGCCCACCAAGGCGACGAUCCGUAGCUGGUCUGAGAGGAUGAUCAGCCACACUGGAACUGAGACACGGUCCAGACUCCUACGGGAGGCAGCAGUGGGGAAUAUUGGACAAUGGGCGCAAGCCUGAUCCAGCCAUACCGCGUGGGUGAAGAAGGCCUUCGGGUUGUAAAGCCCUUUUGUUGGGAAAGAAAAGCAGCAGGUUAAUACCCCGCUGUUCUGACGGUACCCAAAGAAUAAGCACCGGCUAACUUCGUG